CAGUAGCCACGGGAAUACGGAGGAUCCAAGCGUUAUCCGGAAUCAUUGGGUUUAAAGGGUCCGUAGGCGGUCUUGUAAGUCAGUGGUGAAAGCCCAUCGCUCAACGGUGGAACGGCCAUUGAUACUGCAGGACUUGAAUUAUUGGGAAGUAACUAGAAUAUGUAGUGUAGCGGUGAAAUGCUUAGAGAUUACAUGGAAUACCAAUUGCGAAGGCAGGUUACUACCAAUUGAUUGACGCUGAUGGACGAAAGCGUGGGUAGCGAACAGGAUUAGAUACCCCUGUAGUCCCUGUCUCUUAUAA
rnacentral:rRNA from 1 species